UGAAAACUGAAGGUGUUGAGAUGUGGAAGUUACGAGACUCCAGUAAGGAAAUGCGCUUGCGUGAAAACAAAUUUGGAAAUUGCCAGGACUUGGCAGACGUGUUCUCCAGUCAAAGGAGUGAAAGAGUGGAAGUUCUGCAACUGGGUAAUGCCUGAGAACACACCAAUGACGUCUCAAGACAGAUCUUGGUAUCACGCAAUGAAUUUCCCAGCUUUGUUUUCUCCACAUAGUGCGUGAAAACUCAGGGUCUUCCAUGAAAAAGCUGCACAUGAUGGCUGAUAGUGGGUCUCCCAUCGCAAAACCUUCCUUCUGUCUGUAAAUUGUAUUCCUGAACUGAAAGUAUGUGGAUGUGGUGAUGAAUUGAAGGAGCUGAACGCAUUCAAAGAGCAAUGAGGAAACACAACAUUAACACACCUGUCAAACCACACACAACACUCCGUCAGAUCCUGGUUCAUCCCAAAGACAGAAUACAUCCGGACAACAGAUGCAACACCAUAUAUGAGAUUCCAUGUCAAUUAUGCAAUAAAACUUACAUUGGGGAGACAGGAAGGAGUUUCAACACAAGAAAAAAUGAACAUAAGAAAGAGUGCGAAAAGGAGACAGCUACAAGACAAACCCGAACAAUAAAAGAAAAGGCACAACAGGAAAAUUAUAAGUCAGCUAUAACAGAUCAUUGCAAAAGGGAAAAUCAUAUUAUGGACUGGGGGAAUGCCAGAGUCAUCCGCACAGAAGAUAACAAACAUCAGCGCUGGAUCAGGGAGGCCAUGGAGAUCCGUAAGCGAAGCCUGAGGACCAUCAACCGGGAUGAGGGAGCAUACAUGCUCUCCCACACCUGGAGUGCCAUCUUGCAGGGGACAAACAGACAGUAGAAGGCGUGACUGACCUGUCAAACCAGACAGGAAGGCCACGCCUUCAGAAACAUCAGCUGAUAAAAGAUGCGUCACCAAUAACAUCCAGUGACACUCUGAGGAAGACGACAGUCAUACGUCGAAACAUGUCAGAUUGCAACCGAUUUAUUCUAAGAUGUCUGUGGCAGCGGGGGCGUGGUCAAGCACCGGUCUGUGACAGGAGGGCGGAGUCGGGGAAGGUAAGUGGCAGAUUCACUUCACCUGAGAGCAAUUAACCUGUGUUUGUGUGUCUUCCCAGGGACCGCGCCCUAUUUAGGGAGGGAGAGCGAGAGCAGAGGAGAUCUCUCCCGAACCAGACACCUGAUGUGUGUGUGUGCGUGUGUCUGGGUAAAACCUCUUGUGUCCCCUGAAAAGUGGAAACAAUUAAACUGUUUGUUGAACCUGA